rnacentral:rRNA from 1 species
GGCGGGCUUACCAUGCAGUCGAGCGCCCCCUGGGGAGCGGCGACGGGUGAGUAACACGUAGAUAACGUGCCUUUAGAUGGGGGAUAACUUCGGGAAACUGAAGCUAAUACCGCAUGUGUCCUUCGGGAUGAAAGCCUUCGGGCGUCUGAAGAGCGGUCUGCGGCCCAUUAUUUAAUCCUUGUUGGUGAGGUAACGGCUCACCAAGGGGUGGGGAUGGGGUAGCUGGUCUGAGAGGAUGAUCAGCCACACUGGGGACUGAGACACGGCCCCAGACUCCCUACGGGAGGCAGCAGUGGGGGAAUAUUGGACAAUGGGGCGAAAGCCUGAUCCAGCCCCGGCCGCGUGUGUGAUGAAGGCCUUCGGGUUGUAAAGCACUGUCGGGGAGGAACAAAUAAUAUUGACGGUACCUCGCAAAAAAGCACCGGGGUAGGGGCGGGGCCAGCCCCCCCCCCCCAUACGGGAGGGGGCAAGCGUUGCUCGGAAUCCCUGGGGCGUAAGGCGGACGCCAGGGGGAACGUUAGUUGGGAUGUGAAAGCCCCGGGCUCCACCCGGGAAAUUGAUUCAAAACGGGUUUUCUUGAUUCGAAAGAGGGGUGUGGAUUCCUGGUGAAAAGUGAAUUUCUUGAUACCGGGAAGACCCCCGGGGGAGAGGGGGCCCCCUGGCUUGAAACUGAC